rnacentral:rRNA from 1 species
CUACGGGUGGCUCCAGUGGGGAAUAUUGCACAAUGGGCGCAAGCCUGAUGCAGCCAUGCCGCGUGUAUGAAGAAGGCCUUCGGGUUGUAAAGUACUUUCAGCGGGGAGGAAGGGAGUAAAGUUAAUACCUUUGCUCAUUGACGUUACCCGCAGAAGAAGCACCGGCUAACUCCGUGCCAGCAGCCGCGGUAAUACGGAGGGUGCAAGCGUUAAUCGGAAUUACUGGGCGUAAAGCGCACGCAGGCGGUUUGUUAAGUCAGAUGUGAAAUCCCCGGGCUCAACCUGGGAACUGCAUCUGAUACUGGCAAGCGUGAGUCUCGUAGAGGGGGGUAGAAUUCCAGGUGUAGCGGUGAAAUGCGUAGAGAUCUGGAGGAAUACCGGUGGCGAAGGCGGCCCCCUGGACGAAGACUGACGCUCAGGUGCGAAAGCGUGGGGAGCAAACAGGAUUAGAUACCCUUGUAGUC